ACACAUGCAGUCGAGCGGAGAUGAGGUGCUUGCUCCUUAUCUUAGCGGCGGACGGGUGAGUAAUGCUUAGGAAUCUGCCUAUUAGUGGGGGACAACAUUCCGAAAGGGAUGCUAAUACCGCAUACGUCCUACGGGAGAAAGCAGGGGAUCUUCGGACCUUGCGCUAAUAGAUGAGCCUAAGUCGGAUUAGCUAGUUGGUGGGGUAAAGGCCUACCAAGGCGACGAUCUGUAGCGGGUCUGAGAGGAUGAUCCGCCACACUGGGACUGAGACACGGCCCAGACUCCUACGGGGGGCAGCAGUGGGGAAUAUUGGACAAUGGGGGGAACCCUGAUCCAGCCAUGCCGCGUGUGUGAAGAAGGCCUUAUGGUUGUAAAGCACUUUAAGCGAGGAGGAGGCUACUGAGACUAAUACUCUUGGAUAGUGGACGUUACUCGCAGAAUAAGCACCGGCUAACUCUGUGCCAGCAGCCGCGGUAAUACAGAGGGUGCGAGCGUUAAUCGGAUUUACUGGGCGUAAAGCGUGCGUAGGCGGCUUUUUAAGUCGGAUGUGAAAUCCCCGAGCUUAACUUGGGAAUUGCAUUCGAUACUGGGAAGCUAGAGUAUGGGAGAGGAUGGUAGAAUUCCAGGUGUAGCGGUGAAAUGCGUAGAGAUCUGGAGGAAUACCGAUGGCGAAAGGCAGCCAUCUGGCCUAAUACUGACGCUGAGGUACGAAAGCAUGGGGAGCAAACAGGAUUAGAUACCCUGGGUAGUCCAUGCCGUAAACGAUGUCUACUAGCCCGUUGGGGCCUUUGAGGCUUUAGUGGCGCAGCUAACGCGAUAAGUAGACGCCUGGGGAAGUACGGUCGCAAGACUAAAACUC
rnacentral:rRNA from 1 species